rnacentral:rRNA from 1 species
UUGAUCAUGGCUCAGAACGUACGCUGGCGGCACGCCUAACACAUGCAAGUCGAACGAAGUAGCAAUACUUAGUGGCAGACGGGUGAGUAACAUGUAGGUAUCUGCCCUUUGGCCUGGAAUAACACGAGGAAACUUGUGCUAAUACCGGAUAAGUCUUUACGGAGAAAGCUUUAUGCACCAUUGGAUGAGCCUGCACUUGAUUAGUUUGUUGGUGGGGUAAUGGCCUACCAAGACUGUGAUCAAUAGCUGAUUUGAGAGGAUGAUCAGCCACAUUGGGACUGAGACACGGCCCAAACUCCUACGGGAGGCAGCAGUGGGGAAUCUUGCACAAUGGAGGAAACUCUGAUGCAGCGAUGCCGCGUGAGUGAAGAAGGCCUUUGGGUUGUAAAGCUCUUUCGUCGGGGAAGAAAAUGACUGUACCCGAAUAAGAAGGUCCGGCUAACUUCGUGCCAGCAGCCGCGGUAAUACGAAGGGACCUAGCGUAGUUCGGAAUUACUGGGCUUAAAGAGUUCGUAGGUGGUUGAAAAAGUUGGUGGUGAAAUCCCAGAGCUUAACUCUGGAACUGCCAUCAAAACUUUUCAGCUAGAGUAUGAUAGAGGAAAGCAGAAUUUCUAGUGUAGAGGUGAAAUUCGUAGAUAUUAGAAAGAAUACCAAUUGCGAAGGCAGCUUUCUGGAUCAUUACUGACACUGAGGAACGAAAGCAUGGGUAGCGAAGAGGAUUAGAUACCCUCGUAGUCCAUGCCGUAAACGAUGUGUGUUAGACGUUGGAAAUUUAUUUUCAGUGUCGCAGCGAAAGCGAUAAACACACCGCCUGGGGAGUACGACCGCAAGGUUAAAACUCAAAUGAAUUGACGGGGACCCGCACAAGUAGUGGAGCAUGUGGUUUAAUUCGAAGAUACGCGCAGAACCUUACCAACACUUGACAUGUUCGUCGCGACUCUAAGAGAUUAGAGUUUUCGGUUCGGCCGGACGAAACACAGGUGCUGCAUGGCUGUCGUCAGCUCGUGUCGUGAGAUGUUGGGUUAAGUCCCGCAACGAGCGCAACCCUCACUUUUAGUUGCCAUCAUUAAGUUGGGCACUCUGAAAGAACUGCCAGUGAUAAGCUGGAGGAAGGUGGGGAUGACGUCAAGUCCUCAUGGCCCUUACGUGUUGGGCUACACACGUGCUACAAUGGUAUCUACAACAGGAAGCAAGACUGCGAGGUCAAGCAAAUCCUUAAAAGAUACCUCAGUUCGGAUUGCACUCUGCAACUCGAGUGCAUGAAGCUGGAAUUACUAGUAAUCGUGGAUCAGCGUGCCACGGUGAAUGCGUUCCCGGGUCUUGUACACACCGCCCGUCACACCAUGGGAGUUGGUUCUACCUUAAGGCAAGGUUUAAAACCCUUGACCACGGUAUAGUCAGCGACUGGGGUGAAGUCGUAACAAGGUAGC